UGCUCUGUGUCUCUCCUUUAGUGAUAAAGUCUGUAAUGUGUAGGUAAAUGGCCAGAGUGGGGAUGACCCCACUUAUCAGCAGUUCAGGAGAGUGAUGGCAGUGGGAAUGAAGCGGUUCUUGUGUUUGGUGGUUUUUGUG